rnacentral:rRNA from 1 species
UACGGAGGAUGCGAGCGUUAUCCGGAUUUAUUGGGUUUAAAGGGUGCGUAGGCGGGACAAUAAGUCAGUGGUGAAAACCUGCAGCUUAACUGUAGACUUGCCGUUGAUACUGUUGUUCUUGAGUAUGGUCAAGGCAGGCGGAAUGUGUAAUGUAGCGGUGAAAUGCUUAGAUAUUACACAGAACACCGAUAGCGAAGGCAGCUUGCUGGGCCGUUACUGACGCUGAUGCACGAAAGCGUGGGGAUCGAACAGGAUUAGAAACCCUUGUAGUCC